GUGCUCGCUUUGGCAGCACAUAUACUAAAAUUGGAACGAUACAGAGAAGAUCCGCAUGGCCCCUGCGCAAGGAUGACACGCAAAAAAAAAAAGAAAGAAAAAAAAUCA